GCUUACGGCCACACUACCUUGAGAACGCCCGAUCUCGUCUGAUCUCGGAAGCUAAGCAGGGUCGGGCCUUGUAAGUACUUGGAUGGGAGACCGCUUGGGAAUACCAGGUGCUGUAAGCC
rnacentral:rRNA from 1 species